rnacentral:rRNA from 1 species
GACGAACGCUGGCGGCGUGCUUAACACAUGCAAGUCGAACGGAGCACCUGCGUCGGUUGGGGAUCAGUUGCGAACGGGUGAGUAACAUGUGGGCAACCUGCCAUCAGCUCUGGGAUAACUCCACUAAAUUGGGGCGAGCACUGGGUAUGACAGCUUACUGCAUGGUCGGGCGGCGGGAAGAUUGAUCGGCUGGGGAUGGGGGUGCGGGCUAUCAGCGUGUUGGUGGGGUAGUGGGCUAGCAAGGCGAGGAGGGGUAGCGGGGCUGGGAGGGUGGCCGGACACGCUAGGACUGAGACACGGCACAGACUACAACGGGACGCGGCGGUGGAGAAGAGUACGCAGUGGGAGGGGGGCAGACGCAACGACGCCGCGUGGGGGAAAACGGCCAGGGGGUUGUAUACCACUUUCCGCAGGGACGAAGCGAUAGUGACGGUACCUGGAGAAGAAGCCCCGGCUAACUACGUG